AGUAAAUAUAUAUUAGAGUUUAUUUUUUUAUUCGAAGGGAAAAUCUUUAAAUAACAAUAAAAGUAUAAAAUAUUUAUUAGUACAGACCAAUACGAUACACCGUAUUUCCUUCAAACACAAACCAAGGAACUGAAAAUAUUAUUAAUAGAAGUAUAGAACUAGUCGUCAAAAUGGAACGUGGUCUCCUAGCACAGAAGCAAUUUGAUCUUUAAUUAGGUAAGAAUGCGUAUAGCCGUCGUCCUCUUUGUAAAUAAAAUCAAUUGCACGAGCAAGAUUAAGAAUCGUCCCGAGCAGUGGUCGGGCAACGACGGUUGGCUUCAUCAUCAACUCCUCGUUAAUAUCUUUCCAUGCAUUUGCAACUUCUUCUUCAAACAUUUUAAUUGCCUCUUCCUUAGAGACACCAUGCUGCUUCGUGUAACAUUCAAUAGCUGACGCAACAUGUCCUCUCUUCUGCUCAAACUACAUAUAUAAUAACAUAUGGUUUAGUAUCGGUGCCUGUUUAGAUUGGUAUAUAUUAGGAGAUUUAUAAGUAAUUAUAGUAAUUAUUCGAAAAAUUAAAAGUUAAUUUUGAUGUAUAUACACACACACCCCACUUUUCAGUGCGCAGAUUUUUAAAAAAUAUAAUAACAUAGAUUGGAGGGUUUUGAUAAAUUUUCUAUAAAAGUGCGGGGUUAUGUAUUUUUUAUUUUGCAUACCUCAUGACCUUGUAUGUCAUCCAUGAGUCUGCAGAUAACUGAUGCUGCUUUUACAACCUUAGGGUUAUUGGAGAUCCAUUCAAAAACCUCUUUAGUUGCAAAAUCACCCAUGCCAAGGAAGGAAGUUGUUAUGACCAAUGUGUAAGCACAACUUGUUAGUGCAAUAGGCAUAUACUCCUCAAUUGUUGGAACGUAACCUUCACUGAACCAUUUGGCUUGAACAAAGUAUGCUCCAAUUACUUUUUGAUUCUGAGAAGCAAAACGCAGCUAAACCUUAGCCGUUAUAAAAACAAUAAUAAGAAAUAAGUUUUUAAAUUUUAAUAUACCUGUUGUGAUAUAUUAAUUUGAUCUAAUUAAUUUCUAAGAGCCAAUAAUUCAGUAAGAUUUAUGGUUGACGAGUAAGAUUUCUCAUCUCCAUCCGAACAAUACAAUAAAAAAGAAAACAGCCUCCAUCAUCGAACACACUUUUGAUAAGUUUUAUGUAACCUAAAAAAUAGCUCCAAGGGUUUAAGCUAAUUAUCCAAUUAAUUCUUACAUUUGUAAUAAUUCAGGGAGAGGUGUGAAAAUUUUAGCAAAAUUUCAGGGGGGGUGAAUGAAAUAUGUCUAAAAUUUUGUGAAACUUAAAUUUACCCAUAGAUAUUUGAUGUAAUUUUGUGGGUGGAGUAGAUAUUCCUCCCAAAAUUGUGUACAAUACACAUAUAGGUAAUUUAAAGGAAAAAAAAAUAGGGAGGAUGAUGCAUACCGCCUCUUUUGCAUAACGUACGCAGUGUGAUCUGUUGGGAAAAUAUGCUCUUUAAAAGCAUAUGUGUUUAUUUAAUUGUAAUAAAUAAUUUUUCUGAUUAAUAAAAUAAAUGGGGUAUUUUAUUCAAAUAUCUUAAUUGCAUUAAUAUUUGUAUUAAAGUCCAUUUAAUCAUAUUAUAUGUAUUUAUGUGAUCACCAUGUGGAUUCACAGAAGACAUAAAUACAAGUUAUCUUAUGAUUAAAUAAAUUUAGUUCGCAGUUGAUAAAUAAAGUUGGGCACUUUAUUUAGGUAUAGACUGUAAUAAAUUCAUUGAAUGAUUUGUCUUAAUCAUGUAUGAAUUUAUUGAUGUAGUACGACUACAUUGAACAGGAUCACAUAUGAGAUUUAAUUAACUUUGUAAUAACUGUCAGACUUAUUAAAUCUCAUAGGCGUUGAUUUUACUGUAAUCUUAAUCUUGAGUUAAUUAUGAUUUCAUGAUUGUGAUUGUUAUUUCAUUUGAGUUACCAAUGGGCACGACACAUCCUUGUGGUCAAGAUUACCCGGUAUCUUGGUGGGAGCAAUUAUGAGUAUUGGAGUUAUGGAUUAACAAUAUAGAAUUUGUACAACACAUCUCUUGAUAGGUUUUCGGUACUUGAUCAUAGAAUUCUCUGGCCAGAGUGUGUCAACAUAUUUAGUAUGUUGAAAAUGAUCAUUAGAGAAAACCAGUAAGGAUCAAGGAAUAAGAUGUUAUUAAAUUGAUUGGACAGUUGAGAUAUCAAUUUAAUUAACGAUGUGGUACAAAGGAUUGUGCAGUAAAGAAAUCAAUGUGGCUUGGGACGAAUUAUUAUUCGAGCAUACAAUUAUGGAAGUCAGUUCCAAUCUUUUAGUGGAGUAGAUUUGGAAUUAAAUAAUUGGGCUAGUUUAAUUACAGGCCUAAUUAUUGUAGCCACUAUUGUAUGUUCCCAAAUGAUCCCCGGGUUAGCUCAUUUAAUUGACUGCACCACUACUGGACUAAUAAGUAAGAUAACUAGCUAUUUGGGUCAAAAGCCUAAAUAUAUUAUUUAGUGGGAGGCUCCAUUUAAUUAGCUUUUGUAUAAGGGGCCUUAUGUUAUUUUACAAGGUGGGUCCCCUAUUGAAAAAGCAAAUAAACGUGAGUUUUGUUUUUUGAUUAUUUGGAGCCUAGGGUUUUCACUAAAGGGAGAUAUAUAAGGCUUAUUUUCUCUAAAGAAAAAAGAGAGAGACCACUUUAUACAAAUCGGAGAAUAAGAUUUUUCUCUCUAUUGUUGAGAGAAAAAUUUUCUCGUGCUAGUUGCUUUGGUAGUGAGAACGGCGCCCACACGUCAAGUGCAGAUCGAACCUGAGUCAUAACCUGGAAGAUCAUUGGUGACAGUUCGUGAUCUAACAAGCGUGGUGGUGACGGAUCGUGAUCUAACAGGAGUGGUGGUGGCGGAUCAUGAUCUAGGAGCCUAAAUCACUUCAGCGGAAAAAGCCAACUCGGAUUUUCAAGGUACGAUUUCUAGAAUACAAAUUUUUAUAUAUUAUAUGAGAGCGAUCUUCAAAAGGUUUUAUAGAAAUUUAAAAACCUGAUUUUUUCCCCAACAAUUGGUAUCAGAGCCAUCUCAUAUUAAUAUAUAAGAAUUUCGUAUGAAAUCAUUCUUGAAAUUUAUGUAUUAGAGUGGCACAAUUUAUUCAGAUAUAUAUUAUUUGUUUAAUAUAUGAAUAAAGCAUGUUAUGGUUUGUCUUAAUUCAUGGUUAGAUUUUCUACUGUAUUUUUCGUUUGGAUCUGUAACAAGAGGGGUGGUUUUUACUCACCAUGUUUCCCUCUUGAUUUAAUUUACUGAUAUAGAAUUUUGUAAGCCAAAAUUGGCCUAAGAAAUUUGUAAAUUAAUUACUGGAAAAUUGCGGAAACUUGCUGGAAACUGCGGCAACGAACCAGAGUAGCAGCACACGGCCAGCAGCACUCGCUGCCAGCAGCGCGCGCUGCGAGCGCAGCCCAGCAGCACACGCUGCCAGGCGCUGCACACACAGCAGCUGCAGCGCGCGAGCAGCAGCUGCAGCGCCCAAGCAGCAGUGCGAACGUGGGCUGGAGGCGCGCGAGUGAAGGCAGCUGGCGGAGCGUUCUGGUUGGCGUCUUUCCGGCGUCGAUGACGGCUGUCCGGUGUGGAAACAGUAAACAACGGCUGGGUUUUUGUGCUGGUGGCGGCUGGGGAAGAAGAGGAAAAGAAAAAUGUGAUUUUAGGGUUCCAUGGUUUUUAUCGUGGAGGUCCCUAUAGCUUCAUAUUUUUCAGUUGGGCAGAAACGUUUUUAAUUUUUUGCAUUUAAGUCCAAAAACCGUUUUGGGCUUAAAAAAUCCUAGUUUUAGGCCCAAUUUCAAUUGGGCUUAAUGGAUUAAAAAAUGCAUAGACAAAAUUAAAUACAUUAAAUUUAUUUUUGGUCCAAAAGUUUUAUUUUAAUAAAAUAAAAAAUUAAUUAUUUAUUUAUUUCUUUUCAAAAUUAAAAUUGGACCAAUUAUAAAUUUAAAAGCCCAAUUUCCCCUAGUCCAUUAACAAAGACAAGAUUAUGGAAGAUGGACAUUGACAAGAAGCCCAAUGAAGAUUAGGCUUAGGGUUAAUGUAUUUUUCAUUAUUAGGAAAGCCAUGAAUUAAGAUUAUUUAAUUGUUUUUCUAUAUGUUAUGUUUUGGAUGAUAACAUGCCAUGAUAACAUGUCAUAUAGAAUAGGUAGUGCCACUCUAUACAUAAUGAUACAUGUCAUUCAUUAAUAAUGAAUUUCAUUAUAUUGUUUGAAAUUUGCGUGUGCUUAAUAAUAUUUGAUAUCAUCUAGAUAAUAUUAUAGGAAGCAUGCAAUUAACAAUAUGUAUGUUUUAAAAAGGAAAAACCAAUUUUAAAAUAUUGAGUGGGAGAGGGAAAAAUUCAAGAUAAUUUUCCCACGGGCUCCAUUGUUAGUUCAAUAAUAAAAUUAUAUAUAUACAUCGACUUCAUGAUACGGUGAUGCUCCCUUCGGAGGGUAUAUAUAUUAGAUAUUUUAUUUGAUGAACUUCUUCAAAGAUAAAAUUGAAAUAUUUUUCAAUCGAUUGUUCACCCCAACGGUGACUAUUGAUAUGAAAAAUACGUAGAUUGAAACAAUGGUUAUACACUCAACUAAAAUUUGUUAUUAACCUUCCCAACGAAGCUCUGUUAACAAAUUUAGGCCCAAAAAGAUAACGAUAAUUAUUUAUCAUGUCUCUACAUGAAAGUAAAUAAUCCAAUGGGUAAUUGGGUCUAGUAAGUAUAGACAUGACUUCCCCACCGGAUAGCUUGUCAAAGCGGUACUAGAUUAUCGUUACAAUAAAUUAAAAUGCAUUUAUGGUUUUUUGCAUUUUUUUCAUUUAUUGUGAAUAUUGUUUCAAAGUAUUUAUGCAUGUCUAUUUUUUUUCAGAAAAUGUCUUCCAUCAACCCAUUAUUAUUUAUCCUUGUUAAAAAUGAACUCAUUGGCGAAAAUUAUUUAGAUUGGAAACGCAAUCUAUUUAAUAUUCUCACUGCUAAGGGAAGCAAAUAUGUUUUGACUCAGCCUUGCCCUCCUGAACCAUCGUUAUACGAUUAUAGAAAUCAGAGGGAGCCUUAUGAGAAAUGGUGCGAAGCUAACAAAAUGGCUAAGCGCUAUAUAUUGGCUUCGAUUUCUGUGGAACUGCAUAAGAAACAUCGGAGCAUGGAAACAGCCACUGAAAUAAUGGCUAGUCUUCAUCAGAUGUUUGGGCAAAAUACCCAUUUUGCCAGAGAAGCAGCAUUGAAACGUAUUACGGAUACUAAGAUGGAAGAGGGCACAAAAGUUCGUGAUCAUGUCCUCAAAAUGAUGGACUAUUUGAAUAAAGUAGAGAUUCAUGGUGUUCAAAUCAAUGAUAAAUCAAAGAUUAACAUGGUGAUUGAAUCUUUACCUGAUACAUUCAAAGAGUUUAAGGUCAGUUAUAUCUUAAACAAUAAAGAUAUGACCUUAAUUGAAUUAAUGCACGAACUACAUGCUAUAGAAGAAUUUUAUCAUAGCAGAAAACUUCCUGAAAAAGGAUUCUCUUCAAGGCUUAAGUCGAAAGACAAGAAUGAGCAAGCAAGAGUUGGGAUCGGCAAACUGUCCACUAAAAGAAGUGGCAAGCCAAUAGGCAAGUGUUACAAAUGUGGACAGAAGGGUCACUGGAAGAAAGAUUGUCCUAAGAUUAUUAAAAUCAGGUAUAGGAAAUCUUUAAGCUUCCUAAUUAGUUCAGAUUUCUAUUGAAUCAUACAAUAAUGAAUUCUGAGAUAACUAAUCUUAUUUGUAAUUCAUUUAUUUGGUUUUCAGGAAACCAAGAGAUUAAGUGAAGAAAGCUUCAAACAGCAAUUGAGGACAUGCUAGUUUAUAUCAAUUGAAAGACUAGAUCAAUUUUACAAGACUUUAGUUUUGAUAUUUGUCUUUAUUUUUCCAAAUAUUAGAGGAAUUUAAUUUCGGUGGCUUGUUUUAAUAAACAGGAGUACACUGUUAUUUUUGGAUCCUCUGUUUAUUACUUAUUUUGGUUAUUUAUAAAGACAAUUUAUAUCAUAAAAGUACAUUGAUCUAUUCAAAGUAAGAUAUAAUGAUAAAAAGUAUAUGCAUUUAUCUAAGAAAAGAAAUGUUUCUUCUAACCAAAAAUCACCUCUGAUAUUUAUGCUUAAGUCAUAUAAACUAUAAUAAGAUUUUAAGAAAAUGAUUAAUGAUAGACUUGUUGGCCUAUUAGAUUAAUCAUUGUAACUCUAUAAAUCUUAUUUAGAAAAGUAAUAUGACAAGGAUGCUCUUUAUGAGCUAAAAGCAUAACAUUGUAUUUGAUGAUUUAGCGCAUACAAAUGUAUACGGACUAAUCAGUUUACAUGUUAUAAGAGGUUAUGAGUAUUCUAUCAAUCUAGUUGAUGAAUAUUCAUUUUAUGUUUGUCUAAAUGAGUCAUGAUUCCAUUGCUUUUGAAAUUCAAAAGAGUACGUGAAUAAGACAGAAGCAAUUAGACAGGAACAUAAAAGAAUUUCGAUAUGAUCGAAACAAAGAAUAUCUCUAUGGAGAAUUCAAGCACUAUUUGGUUGUCAAUGAACACUAUGAUACAAUAGUGUAAUUAAAUGGAGAAACAAGAUUCUUUUGGAUAAGACAAGAUAUAUACUAAGUGGUUUAUCAUUUACCUUUUUGAUUCCAGAUACUAGUAUUUGAAACUACAAAGUUUAUUGAACUUAGUUUCAUCUAUCUCGGUGUCCACUACUCCAAGAAAUUAUGAAAAAGUCACAAACAUGGUUUGAGACACAUUCGUAUUUGGAGUUUACUAGUAUUUCUACUAGAAUCAGAGAUAGAGAAGAUGGAUUCGUGUUCAAAAGCUUGCAUGUUUUAGGUAUCUUAAAGGAAUAAGGGAAAGUCUGAAUUAUAGUCCUCAAGAUAGGAAUGUAUUUAUAGAAAUAUUUUUUACUUUCUUUGAGGAAGACUAUAUAAUGACUUAUAACCUAAGAGUAAGGUAAAACUAGAGAAAUAAAAGAGAUCAGGUUGAUGCUCAGCUUUCAACACCUGUUAUAGAACAGGAAGAACAGCAACAACCAGCUGAUCAGCACAGGAUUAUCCUUGAACAACCAUCACUUUUAGAACCUCGUCGUAGUGGGAGGGUAACUAGGUUACCUGCAAGAUACAUGUUUUUGGGAGAAACCUAUAAGGCUAUCUCAGAUGAACAUGUACAAGAUCCCACUAGUUACAACGAAGCUCUAAUAGAUAGAGAUGAUGAAUUUUGAAAAAGGCCAUGAAUCAAGAAAUGGAAUCUAUGUAUUCCAAUAAAGUCUGGGAACUUGUAGAGGCACCAAAUGGGGUAAAACCUAUAGGGUGCAAGUGGAUCUACAAGAGAAAAAGAGGAGUAGACGGAAGGGUGGAAACAUUUAAAGCAAGAUUAGUAGCCGAAGGGUUUACUCAGAAAGAAGGAAUCAAUUAUGAGGAAACCUUUUCUCCGGUUGCUAUGCUUAAAUCCAUCAGGAUUCUGCUCUCCAUUGCUGCAGUGCUAGAUUAUGAAAUUUGGCAAAUGGAUGUCAAGACUGCCUUUCUUAACAUGCAUCUUGAAGAAAACAUCUACAUACAGCAACAAGAUGGAUUUAUACAAAAAAGGCCAAGAACACAUGGUAUGUAAGUUGCAGAGAUCUAUUUAUGGAUUGAAGCAAGCAUCCCAGUCAUGGAACAUCAGAUUUGAUCAAGCGAUUAAAUCACUUGGAUUCAUUCAGAACAUUGAUGAACCAUGUGUGUACAAGAAAAUUCAGGGAAAAUUUGUAGCCUUCCUAGUUCUUUGUGUAGACAAUAUUCUCCUGAUUGGAAACGAUAUAGGAGUAUUGACUAUAAUAAAGAUUUGGUUAGCAAAACAAUUUGAUAUGAAAGACCUGGGAGAGACAAGUUAUAUUCUUGGUAUCAAGUUACUAUGAGACCGGAAGAAUAAAACUUUAGCCUUGUCUCAAGCGGUCUAUAUCGAUAAGAUAUUGGCUAGAUUUAGUAUGGAAAAUUCCAAGACUGGUUUAUUACCAUUCAGACAUGGAAUUACAUUCUCUAAGGAUCAAUCACCUAAAACAUCUGAAGAGAUAGAGAGAAUGAGACGAGUUCCCUAUGCAGAAGCUGUGGGAAGUCUCAUGAAUGCCAUGCUUUGCACUAGGCCAGACAUCUGUUUUGCGGUAGGGAUGGUUAGUAGAUAUCAAUCUAAUCCUGGACCUGAACACUGGACUGCGGUCAAGCAUAUAAUGAAGUAUCUGAAAAGAACUUAAAAUUAUAUGCUUGUGUAUUCUGGUGAUGAACUUAUUCUAGUGGGUUAUACUAAUUCUGAUUUUUUGUCAGAUAAGGAUUUUAGAAAAUCAACUUCCGGCUAUGUGUUUACAUUGGGAAGUGGAGCUACUAGUUGGAUGAGUGUGAAACAAUCUUGUAUCACAGACUCAACAACUAAAGCUGAAUAUGUGGCUACAUCUGAAGCUGCAAAAGAAGCUAUAUGGCUCUGCAAGUUCCUACGAAAUCUUGAGGUGGUACCUGUUGUAACUGCACCCCUUAAACUAUUUUAUGAUAAUGGUGGUGCGGUAGCUCAAUCUAAGGAACCAAGGAACCACAAGAAACAAAACAUAUUGAAAGGAAGUAUCAUCUUAUAAGGGAAUAGUGUAGAAAGGUUAUAUGACAGUACCCCAAAUGGCAUUAGAUGCUAAAUGGCAGAUCUUAUUACAAUGGCCAUUAGUGGGAAACCUUUAUAACCUGCACUUAGAGCCCUAGAGCAUGUGCAAUAUGCCAGAUAUGCUUUGAGAGCUAGUGGGAGAUUGUUGGGAAAAUAUGCUCUUUAAAAGCAUAUGUGUUUAUUUAAUUGUAAUAAACAAUUUUUCUGAUUAAUAAAAUAAAUGAGGUAUUUUAUUCAAAUAUCUUAAUUGCAUUAAUAUUUGUAUUAAAGUCCAUUUAAUCAUAUUAUAUGUAUUUAUGUGAUCACCAUGUGGAUUCACAGAAGACAUAAAUACAAGUUAUCUUAUGAUUAAAUAAAUUUAGUUCGCAGUUGAUAAAUAAAGUUGGGCACUUUAUUUAGGUAUAGACUGUAAUAAAUUCAUUGAAUGAUUUGUCUUAAUCAUGUAUGAAUUUAUUGAUGUAGUACGACUACAUUGAACAGGAUCACAUAUGAGAUUUAAUUAACUUUGUAAUAACUGUCAGACUUAUUAAAUCUCAUAGGCGUUGAUUUUACUGUAAUCUUAAUCUUGAGUUAAUUAUGAUUUCAUGAUUGUGAUUGUUAUUUCAUUUGAGUUACCAAUGGGCACGACACAUCCUUGUGGUCAAGAUUACCCGGUAUCUUGGUGGGAGCAAUUAUGAGUAUUGGAGUUAUGGAUUAACAAUAUAGAAUUUGUACAACACAUCUCUUGAUAGGUUUUCGGUACUUGAUCAUAGAAUUCUCUGGCCAGAGUGUGUCAACAUAUUUAGUAUGUUGAAAAUGAUCAUUAGAGAAAACCAGUAAGGAUCAAGGAAUAAGAUGUUAUUAAAUUGAUUGGACAGUUGAGAUAUCAAUUUAAUUAACGAUGUGGUACAAAGGAUUGUGCAGUAAAGAAAUCAAUGUGGCUUGGGACGAAUUAUUAUUCGAGCAUACAAUUAUGGAAGUCAGUUCCAAUCUUUUAGUGGAGUAGAUUUGGAAUUAAAUAAUUGGGCUAGUUUAAUUACAGGCCUAAUUAUUGUAGCCACUAUUGUAUGUUCCCAAAUGAUCCCCGGGUUAGCUCAUUUAAUUGACUGCACCACUACUGGACUAAUAAGUAAGAUAACUAGCUAUUUGGGUCAAAAGCCUAAAUAUAUUAUUUAGUGGGAGGCUCCAUUUAAUUAGCUUUUGUAUAAGGGGCCUUAUGUUAUUUUACAAGGUGGGUCCCCUAUUGAAAAAGCAAAUAAACGUGAGUUUUGUUUUUUGAUUAUUUGGAGCCUAGGGUUUUCACUAAAGGGAGAUAUAUAAGGCUUAUUUUCUCUAAAGAAAAAAGAGAGAGGCCACUUUAUACAAAUCGGAGAAUAAGAUUUUUCUCUCUAUUGUUGAGAGAAAAAUUUUCUCGUGCUAGUUGCUUUGGUAGUGAGAACGGCGCCCACACGUCAAGUGCAGAUCGAACCUGAGUCAUAACCUAGAAGAUCAUUGGUGACAGUUCGUGAUCUAACAAGCGUGGUGGUGACGGAUCGUGAUCUAACAGGAGUGGUGGUGGCGGAUCGUGAUCUAGGAGCCUAAAUCACUUCAGCGGAAAAAGCCAACUCGGAUUUUCAAGGUACGAUUUCUAGAAUACAAAUUCUUAUAUAUUAUAUGAGAGCGAUCUUCAAAAGGUUUUAUAGAAAUUUAAAAACCUGAUUUUUUCCCCAACAUGAUCUUCCUUGCUUGGCCAUAUCUUCCUCAAUUUCAUUAAAAGCAUCUAAGAGUGUCCUGUAAAUCAAUUUCAUGUAUUCUGGAAGCGUAUCUACGGCCUCAAUAUUCCAUCUGGAAAUCAAUGUAAUAACCAUUUUAUAAUAAUAGCAACAAAAAUUUGAUUCUGAAAUUCAAAAUUAAUUAGCUAUACGCAGGGCACUAACCUUUGAACUGCUUCAGUAAAGAGGCUGAGUUCUUCAAGUGUACCAUAAGCAUCAUAAGUAUCAUCUAUGAUGGAUAAUAUGUAAUUUAAUUGGGUCAUUAUCUUUCUCCCAAAUGCAUAUUGAGGCUCGAAGUAUGUCCCUAAAUCCCAAAAAUAUAACUCCACUAAUCUGUCUCUUGCAUAAGGUAGUUUUGUAGUGAAGUCUAAAUCUUUCCACCACCUGAAAUAAGAAUAUAUACAUGUGUCACGAUUCUAUUGAUUGGAUGUACGACGGAGGUAUAAAAGAAUUUCUCCCUAUCGAAAGAACUUACUUUGUUAAUUCAUUGAGUUCCUCCUUGUGUAGCUCUAGCAAUAUGUUAAAAUCUAACUUUGCAAAAUUCAGCAGAGUUAUAUUGUGUAAAUGAUCACUUGUUGAAUUGAUCAUGGACAUAAAAUACCUCGCCUCUAAUCUUGGUAGGGUUUUACGAAGAGGACGGUAUAAAGCAUGAUUUAUCUGUUCCGCAAGCUUAGGGUUACAUGAUCCUGAGCUACCAAUGACUUCAGGUGAGUGGUAGUGAAAGCAAUGGCUUCAUCUAAUAUAUCUUCUCCGCGAAUUGCCAUGUAUGCUGCCUCGUACAAACUUAACAUCCCUUGAACAUCGUUUAUCAACGAUGACUUGAAUCUACCCUCAUCAUCUUUGAACUUCUCAAACACAUCUGAUUAUCACAUUCAAAAAGUAAAUUACUGAAGGCUUACAUGAUUAAUAAUUAGUCAAUGAUUUUGUAAUUUCAAUAAUGCUAGAGCCACAAAUUCUUCAUACAUUACAAACUCAUCAAGUCGCAUCAUAAUUUUGGUUAGAUAAAAAUAUCAUUACAAACUCAUGAAGUCGCACCAUAAUUUUGGUUAGAUAAAAAUACCACAUGACUUAUUUUCAUUAUUAUUUUUAUUAAUCAAUCAAUACUCUUAUAUGAAAAAAAAAAAAAAGUAGGGUGAGGGUAAAAUCUAAAUUGAUAUUUUAGCCCCGGCCUAGCUUACAAUAUUCAAACUCAAGUGAUUGGCUAAAGAAAACUACUUGAAAAUCAGUCGUCCAAAUCUCUGGGGACAAAUACAAUAAAAAGUGUUUGUGGCUGUCGCAUUACUCACAAUUGUAAUAGCUUGAGUGAGAUUACAUACCACAUGAAAUCUUGAUUCCUUGCUGCCUAAGCAAUCGAAAAUGAAGAGAAACGGUGUGAAGAUCAGGGCUAUUACUGUCAAUAUAGUUUGGACAUAACUUUUGUAUUGCAUCUUCUAUUUCUUUCUCAAAGUGAUAAGCCACCCCCAGGCGUUGUACUUCAUCAAUCAAGCGUAACUUCUGAACAGGCUUAUCUUCAGCAUCUGUUAUCAUUCUCCUUACCUCUUCUUUCAGUGCCUCGUGUCGUUCUUGAGUUGCAGUAUGAUCAACUGUCUGAAGCACAAAAAAUAAUUUGUUAAAUUCAUACAAUAUCUGAUGAAUGGUCAAUUUAAAAAAAAAAAAAGCUGCUUUAAAACCAUUUGGUCAAACUCCUGAAGAUACGGUACAUGCUCACUUAACAAAUCGAGUCAUAUAUGGGAUGUUUGGGUUCAUCUUUACCUUGAAAUCAGAAGCACCUUUGAGGAAAUGGUUUCUCCAUAAACUAGGAUGGAAAUCUGCAGUAGGACGAAAUGUUUCUCCAGACGACAUUUUUGUGUCAGACAAACGGGUGCUGCAGAAUUUUGAUAUUUCUGUGGAAUUAUAAUUUGUAUUUCUACUACUACUGCACCCUUUAAUAUAUACUAAUUCGAUUAUAUCAAGACGGACGCAUGCAACUUGUCUUGAAAGCCUUUUAAUUUAAUUUAUUAUCAAUUCCGAUUCAUUUAAACGCUUGGAUGCAUGGAAACCACGUGAUGGGUCAAUUUUUGACUUUCUGUUAGAUUCUCAAAAUUGUGUCAAUUUUUUUUUCUUUUUCUUUUUGGCCUAUUUAUAACUUAUGGUUUUAAUGGAAAGAUUUUAGUGCAUAUCUGUAUCAUAUUGACAAGUGACAACAACUAGUGUAUUUACUGGGAUAAUUAUUUUUCAGGUAACUCGUUCUCUGUUUAAUCGCAACAAAAUGGCUUGUCUCUAAUUAGAGUUUGAUUAUAUGUUUAAGCUCUUGGUUCUAUUUAGAGUUAGGACUCCAGAAAGUGUUCGUAGAGUUUACACGUACAAGAGAAAUUUUGUUGCUUGCAAUAUUUGGCAUGUAAGGCGGAUGAAAAAUAGGCUUGGGCAUAUGUAUUACAUUGUUUCGGAGUUAGUGCUGAGAUUUUGGCUAACUUUUUAGAAAUAUAUAAUUAGUAGUUAUUUGGAUAAAAAUAUAAAACUAAUUAAAUUUUAACUAUGUAUACGUUUAGGUAUGGAAAAAUACUAUAAAAAGUUUAGCACAGUUAAACUCAGUAUUGGAUCCAAAUCUGUAAUACAUGGGAACUAUUGAACCUAUCAAGAAGAGCUGACUUGUUAGAAAGAAGAUAUCUUGAUAAAGUUGGCAUGUCUCUUGUAAAGAGAAAAAAAAAAAUUAUUAGAAAAGAGAUGGCAUAAAACCAUUAGUAAUUUUGUUGCCUUAAAAACAAAAAUUUAAUGAAGAUCGAACGUCGUGAGCAAAAACGGAAUUCAAAAAUAAAUUUCGUGAUUAAGAAAUUUAUGAAUUAUUCACAGGAUUACAAUUUCUUGAGAAUUAAGUAGUCAAAAUAGGAGAGCUAACCGAAUUUAAUUUGAUCUAAUUUAUUUAACCAACAGUCCGUAAUUAAUUGGAUUUGAUUUGAUUUUCUUAUUUUUUUAUUCAACUCAAUCUUCCAAGGACGAAAUAAAAUUUGAUCCAAUUUUAUUCAAUUUAAAAAUAACCAAUCUAAAUAACAACAAAAUCAUAUUGUAAAUAUCGAUUCGAAUCAAAUUAAUUAAUUUAAAAGUAUAGUAUUUUCAAAAUAUUUUUUAGAUAUGAUGGUUUUGAGUUUUUAAUCUAUAAUACGUGAUGGAAUGGGGUCAGGUACAAUUUCUAGUACUUUCAUAAAAAGAUUUUAGAUACACGGGUUUUGACCUUUUAUUCUAUAAUACAUGAUGGAGAGAGAUCAGAUAUAAUUAAAAUAAUUCUAUAUUUAUUUUUUUAUUAUAUUUUAUUAUAUAAUAAUGGAGAUUGAUUUUUUUUAGUAAUUAUAGCUAUUUUAAAUUUUUUAUUCCAGAUUUUAUCUUAAAUGAUCGGUUAUUUAUUAAAUGGUUGAUAAUUUUUUUAUAAGAUUCAGGUAAAUUAAUUGUAUUAUCUUAUCAUCCAAUUGAUGUAUGUUAUAUCACUUGGAUAUUUUUUAGGAUAAAAAAUUUAGAAUGUAUGGCACUACUCUUUUUUUUUUUUUUUUGGUGAGAUUAUUUGAACCCACUAAAUUACUCUCAACACUAAUUUGCUUAAUAAAUCCAUGACUAAAGUUUAAAAAUAAAAAUUUACUUUAUAUGCUCACCUAAAUGCCCGAUUUACCCCUAUCUCUUUGUAACAUUAUUUGAAAAGCAAAAAGAAGAGAAAGGGGAAAAAACUUGACAUGGUAUCUUUUAGAUCGGAAAAGAGAGAAGCUUGAUUGUUGGAAUACAUAGAUAAUCCAAAUCCAAAUCUCAUUUCCAUCUUAAAUCGGUAAUCCAAUUUGGCUACCAUUACAACCAGUAAGUUUAUUUUUUCAAAUUAGAAUACAACAUGCACUACUAGAAAAAUGGUCUUUACUGAUACUUAGUUCGUGACACUUUAUUAAAAAGUAUCAGUAUUUACAUAUAUAUGGACCAUUUUCCGUGUUUAACAUAUAAGUAUCACAAAAUACUAAUACUAUGGUGUCUCUAAAUUAAACAUCAGAGAUUACUGACACUAAAGUAUCUGUAAAAAAUUUAAAGUAAUUCUGAUAUUGGUCCCGAUAAAACUUGAACCCAAGACCUAUAAAAAUUAAGCUUUUAAGUUUUAAACAAAAGCCAUUAUAAUUUUUUGCAAUGACACUAAGGUAUCGCUAACUGUUAAAAAAAAACAAAAACAAAAACACACGCACGCAUUCACACAUGACACCUCACCCCACACACUCACAAGACGCAAAAACAAACCCUAAGUCCUUAACAAUUAACAUUACAAUACUUUGAAAGAGAGAGAGAGAGCGCCGCUACUCUCGAUCCAGUGCUCCAACACCGGCUCAGAUCUCUCGCUUUUAUAUCACCGCGUCAAGCCUCUCCGUCAUGCCGUCAAGCCUCCAUCAAGUGUCACUGCUUCAAGCCUCCAUCAAGUGUCAUUGCGUCAAGCCUCUCUGUCACGCUGUCAAGCUUCCAUCAUGCGUCACCGCGUCAAGCCUCUCUCCGCUGUCAUAAGCCACCGAUGCGGCACCGCGCCAUUGGUAGUGUCGUUAAGGUGCACCAAAUUUAAAACCUUACCACUAAUAUAAAUAAUUAGUACAGAGCGAGUAAGGAUUGAUCCCACAGAGAUUAUACUAGUUAUAUUUAUUAUUAACUCUAAAGCAAGAUUUGAAAUAAAAUAAUGGUAGUAAUAAUAAGAGUAAUAAUAAUAUAAAUUAAUCUAACUAAAGAAAAUGCCAAUUAUAAAUAAAAAGGGGGUUUAUGAAUUUUUUAACUAAAUAGUAAGAAGUAAAGAAAUUAAAACUACGAACAAGAAUUUAAUAAAAACUCUAAUUAAAAGAAAAAGAAAUAAUAAUGAUGAAAACUUUGGUUAAAGGAUGAUUCGCCACCACCAAACAUGCACAUAAUAUAUCAAUUCUAUUAUCAAUUUAUAUUGAAACUAUCAACCGUAGACAACAAUAAGCUCUGUUAGUCUCAAUCUUUCCUUAGUGUGUUGUUAGGCAAAACAAGCUCUUCACAUAAUCUCUAACCAUUAAAUAAUUUAAAACAAGCUCUUUCAAUUUAAGAUAAUGGAAGCAUUAAAUAAAGAAAGAUAUUAUGUUGAUCUAGGCAAUAAACACACAAGCUCGGAUUAUUUAACCUAGGUUAUGUUCUUCAAUUGAAAUCACUAAUUCCAACCUGCUACUAAUGAUUAAAAUAUCAAGACAAUUACGGAUCAAGAAUUUUAAUCUAGCAAUAAAAUUUAUUCAAGUCCUAUCUAAUUGGCCACUCAAAUAAAACAAGAAUAAACCAUGAACAUUAAUUAUAGAAGAACAUAAACAAUCUCAAUUAAAUAAAUUGAAUGAUAGAAUUUAAAUUUAAUUGCAUAGCAUGUUUAGGGUUUUGAAUUCACCCUCAACCAAAUAAAAAUCUAGCCUAACAUAAUUGAAUUGGGAAUAAGAGAAUUGAUAAAACCAGUCAUGGAGAUUAAUUCAAGCGGCUGCCUUUGCUUCAAUUUUAAUUCCUUCCGGCGUCUCCCUUGUUUUUUUCCUUCUUGCAGCUGCAAUCUCAAAUUCUCUUGCUACCGAUUCUCCUCCAGUGUUGCUUCUGCUUGAUCCUAUUUAUAAUGCUUCAAUUGUGGCUUUUUUAAAUCCUUGCCUGGAAAGAAUUAAAUUCAAAGCCCAAAACCGCCACUUUCAUGCUUCAAUUAAUAAGCCAAUAAUGAUUUCCUAAAGCCAAAAGGCUUUAUUCUCUUUCCUUUCAUGUGGCCACUUUUGAUUUGCAAUCUUUGUUUUCCAAUUUUGCUUUCAUGUGAUGGCUUGGCUUGUUAAUUGGCUUGGCUUCCUUUUUGACUUUCAUUUUCUAAUUUUAGCUCCAUGUACAACAUUAAUUUUGCUUGGCCGAUACAAGCUUUAAUUAAAUUUAUUUUCUAAUUCCUUUCAAUUCUUGAUCUCUUGUGCACUUUUGUCUUUCAAUCUUCAAUCAAAUUUCUUUCCUGAAUGCUCCGAUUUAAUUUCUCUUUAAUUCUAGAAUAUACCUAAAAUAACAAAAUAAAUAAAACUAAGAUAAAAAUUAACACAAUAAAAUAUAAUUUACUAAAUUAAAAGUUAACUAAAAUAACUAGAAUAUUUAAGACCAAAACAAGAAAAAGAUAGAGAAAUUAAUAGCAAAAUAUAUGGAAAAUAUGCACUUAUCAGCCAUCACUAGCCAACCAGCCACCAAAAUUGACAGCCGUGCUAGCUACCCACCACCACAAUACCCUACCACUGCCUGCUAAUACUCCACAAAAUCUUCUCAAGACUUCGAGCCACAGUGUCCAGGUCUGCUUUUUCAAGUCUUGCUUUUUUAAGUUUUUAGUAUCAUCAAGUCUUGCUUCUUCAAGUCUUAAAGUGUAUCUUCAGUCACCAAUUAUAUUUAUGGGUAUUCACUGGUUCGUUGAGUAAUUUUUUCAAACAUAUGGGGUAUUGCGUCAUAACAGCCUUGUAUAUUUCUAUAUCUAAUAUUGAAUGAAUGAAUGAAUCUAUGUGUAGCUUACGAUCGAAAUGCAAAAUCAAGAGUAGUAACAAUUAAAGAACAAUUAAAAAUGAAAUGAAAGCAUAUUCACAAGUUGUUUAUUGAUUUACCUUUCAAUAAAUCUCUCUCUCACACUCACACACUCUGCUCUCUAACCUACCUUUUUGACUUGGCUCCCAAAAAAUAAUAAAGUAAAAUUUUGGUCCCAAGAAAGUUUGAUUUCUAAACAAAGGGGAAAAAAAAGUUAAAAGAAAGUAAGAUUUAUUUUACAAAUUUUACGGUGCUUCUCUUUUAGAACUGUAUGUAUAAAUAAUAAUAAUAAUAAUAAUAAUAAUAAUAAUAAUAAUAAUAUGAGUUUCAUAGAAAAUUUAAUUUAUUUGAUCAUGUUCAUUGAUAUGCUUUAACAAUGCUUUAUUAAUUCUAUUAAUUGCACUUCUUAACUCCUACUUAUCAUAUGAUUAACCCCUUAGUUUGGUUGGGAUGAUUGGUACUUUCUAUUUUUAACUUAUGGUGGAGCGUUUGAGUCUUGCGGUGACCUAUUAGUUUGGUUAAGUUGAUCGGCACUUUCUAUCUUUAACUUACGAUGGAGCAUUCGAGUCUGGCAGUAAAUAUAUAUUAGAGUUUAUUUUUUUAUUCGAAGGGAAAAUCUUUAAAUAACAAUAAAAAUAUAAAAUAUUUAUUAGUACAGACCAAUACGGUACACCGUAUUUCCUUCAAACACAAACCAAGGAACUGAAAAUAUUAUUAAUAGAAGUAUAGAACUAGUCGUCAAAAUGGAACGUGGUCUCCUAGCACAGAAGCAAUUUGAUCUUUAAUUAGGUAAGAAUGCGUAUAGCCGUCGUCCUCUUUGUAAAUAAAAUCAAUUGCACGAGCAAGAUUAAGAAUCGUCCCGAGCAGUGGUCGGGCAACGACGGUUGGCUUCAUCAUCAACUCCUCGUUAAUAUCUUUCCAUGCAUUUGCAACUUCUUCUUCAAACAUUUUAAUUGCCUCUUCCUUAGAGACACCAUGCUGCUUCGUGUAACAUUCAAUAGCUGACGCAACAUGUCCUCUCUUCUGCUCAAACUACAUAUAUAAUAACAUAUGGUUUAGUAUCGGUGCCUGUUUAGAUUGGUAUAUAUUAGGAGAUUUAUAAGUAAUUAUAGUAAUUAUUCAAAAAAUUAAAAGUUAAUUUUGAUGUAUACACACACACACCCCACUUUUCAGUGCGCAGAUUUUUUAAAAAUAUAAUAACAUAGAUUGGAGGGUUUUGAUAAAUUUUCUAUAAAAGUGCGGGGUUAUGUAAGCAGUGGAAAAAACUAUAAGGGGAUGUAGUGCCAUUUUCACUUAAUUUAAUUAGUAGUUAGUAAAGUAUUUUUUAUUUUGCAUACCUCAUGACCUUGCAUGUCAUCCAAGAGUCUGCAGAUAACUGAUGCUGCUUUUACAACCUUAGGGUUAUCGGAGAUCCAUUCAAAAACCUCUUUAGUUGCAAAAUCACCCAUCCCAAGGAAGGAAUUUGUUAUGACGAAUGUGUAAGCACAACUUGUUAGUGCAAUAGGCAUAUACUCCUCAAUUGUUGGAACGUAACCUUCACUGAACCAUUUGGCUUGAACAAAGUAUGCUCCAAUUACUUUUUGAUUCUGAGAAGCAAAACGCAGCUAAACCUUAGCCGUUAUAAAAACAAUAAUAAGAAAUAAGUUUUUAAAUUUUAAUAUACCUGUUGUGAUAUAUUAAUUUGAUCUAAUUAAUUUCUAAGAGCCAAUAAUUCAGUAAGAUUUAUGGUUGACGAGUAAGAUUUCUCAUCUCCAUCCGAACAAUACAAUAAAAAAGGAAACAGCCUCCAUCAUCGAACACACUUUUGAUAAGUUUUAUGUAACCUAAAAAAUAGCUCCAAGGGUUUAAGCUAAUUAUCCAAUUAAUUCUUACAUUUGUAAUAAUUCAGGGAGAGGUGUGAAAAUUUUAGCAAAAUUUCAGGGGGGUGAAUGAAAUAUGUCUAAAAUUUUGUGAAACUUAAAUUUACCCAUAGAUAUUUGAUGUAAUUUUGUGGGUGGAGUAGAUAUUCCUCCCAAAAUUGUGUACAAUACACAUAUCGGUAAUUUAAAGGAAAAAAAAAUAGGGAGGAUGAUGCAUACCGCCUCUUUUGCAUAACGUACGCAGUGUGAUCUUCCUUGCUUGGCCAUAUCUUCCUCAAUUUCAUUAAAAGCAUCUAAGAGUGUCCUGUAAAUCAAUUUCAUGUAUUCUGGAAGCGUAUCUACGGCCUCAAUAUUCCAUCUGGAAAUCAAUUUAAUAACCAUUUUAUAAUAAUAGCAACAAAAAUUUAAUUCUGAAAUUCAAAAUUAAUUAGCUAUACGCAGGGCACUAACCUUUGAACUGCUUCAGUAAAGAGGCUGAGUUCUUCAAGUGUACCAUACGCAUCAUAAGUAUCAUCUAUGAUGGAUAAUAUGUAAUUUAAUUGGGUCAUUAUCUUUCUCCCAAAUGCAUAUUGAGGCUCGAAGUAUGUCCCUAAAUCCCAAAAAUAUAACUCCACUAAUCUGUCUCUUGCAUAAGGUAGUUUUGUAGUGAAGUCUAAUUCUUUCCACCACCUGAAAUAAGAAUAUAUACAUGUGUCACGAUUCUAUUGAUUGGAUAUACGACGGAGGUAUAAAAGAAUUUCUCCCUAUCGAAAGAACUUACUUUGUUAAUUCAUUGAGUUCCUCCUUGUGCAGCUCUAGCAAUAUGUUAAAAUCUAACUUUGCAAAAUUCAGCAGAGUUUUAUUGUAUAAAUGAUCACUUGUUGAAUUGAUCAUGGACAUAAAAUACCUCGCCUCUAAUCUUGGUAGGGUUUUACGAAGAGGACGGUAUAAAGCAUGAUUUAUCUGUUCCGCAAGCUUAGGGGUUACAUGAUCCUGAGCUACCAAUGACUUCAGGUGAGUGGUAGUGAAAGCAAUGGCUUCAUCUAAUAUAUGUUCUCCGCGAACUGCCAUGUAUGCUGCCUCGUACAAACUUAACAUCCCUUGAACAUCGUUUAUCAACGAUGACUUGAAUCUACCCUCAUCAUCUUUGAACUUCUCAAACACAUCUGAUUAUCACAUUCAAAAAGUAAAUUACUGAAGGCUUACAUGAUUAAUAAUUAGUCAAUGAUUUUGUAAUUGCAAUAAUGUUAGAGCCACAAAUUCUUCAUACAUUACAAACUCAUCAAGUCGCAUCAUAAUUUUGGUUAGAUAAAAAUACCAUUACAAACUCAUGAAGUCGCAUCAUAAUUUUGGUUAGAUAAAAAUACCACAUGACUUAUUUUCAUUAUUAUUUUUAUUAAUCAAUCAAUACUCUUAUAUGAAAAUAAAAAAGUAGGGUGAGGGUAAAAUCUAAAUUGAUAUUUUAGCCCCGGCCUAGCUUACAAUAUUUUAGCCCCGGCUUAGCUUACAAUAUUCAAACUCAAGUGGUUAGCUAAAGAAAACUACUUGAAAAUCAGUCGUCCAAAUCUCUAGAGACAAAUACAAUAAAAAGUGUUUGUGACUGUCGCAUUACUCACAAUUGUAAUAGCUUGAGUGAGAUUACAUACCACAUGAAAUCUUGAUUCCUUGCUGCCUAAGCAAUCGAAAAUGAAGAGAAACGGUGUGAAGAUCAGGGCUAUUACUGUGAAUAUAGUUUGGACAUAAUUUUUGUAUUGCAUCUUCUAUUUCUUUCUCAAAGUGAUAAGCCACCCCCAGGCGUUGUACUUCAUCAAUCAAGCGUAACUUCUGAACAGGCUUAUCUUCAGCAUCUGUUAUCAUUCUCCUUACCUCUUCUUUCAGUGCCUCGUGUCGUUCUUGAGUUGCAGUAUGAUCAACUGUCUGAAGCACAAAAAAUAAUUUGUUAAAUUCAUACAAUAUCUGAUGAAUGGUCAAUUUAAAAAAAAAAAAAAAGCUGCUUUAAAACCAUUUGGUCAAACUCCUGAAGAUACGGUACAUGCUCACUUAACAAAUCGAGUCAUAUAUGGGAUGUUUGGGUUCAUCUUUACCUUGAAAUCAGAAGCACCUUUGAGGAAAUGGUUUCUCCAUAAACUAGGAUGGAAAUCUGCAGUAGGACGAAAUGUUUCUCCAGACGACAUUUUUGUGUCAGACAAACGGGUGCUGCAGAAUUUUGAUAUUUCUGUGGAAUUAUAAUUUGUAUUUCUACUACUACUGCACCCUUUAAUAUAUACUAAUUCGAUUAUAUCAAGACGACGCAUGCAACUUGUCUUGAAAGCCUUUUAAUUUAAUGAGAAAUUUACAACCGUCCACCUGUUUGUUUUGUCUUUUUAAAAAAUACACAAACACUUUUUUUUUUCAGCGCGCCACGUGAAGUUUGCUUUUUGUUGCAUUCGUCCAUUUUCGUCUAAUUUCUGUUAGCGAAUUUAACGGAAUGACCUUUUUACCCCUCAAAAUUACAAUUUAACCUAAAAUAAAUAGAAAUUGGAGAUAAAUUGGAUGGAUUUAAUUUUUUUCAAAGGUGGAUGCUAGAAAUUAGAGGAAAAUAAUGUUUGUUACUAAAUUUAGAAACUUUGUAUUUAUUUUUUUGGAGGAAAAUAGUGUUUGUUGCUUACUAGAUUUAGAAAAUUUGUAUUUAUUUUUUCUCUUUCAAAAAAAUAAAUACAAAUUUUUUAAAUUUAGCAAGCAACAAACACUAUUUUCCUCCAAUUUCUAGCAUCCACCUUUGAAAAAAAUUAAAUCCAUCCAAUUUAUCUUCAAUUUCUAUUUAUUUUGAGUUAAAUUGUAAUUUUGAGGGGUAAAAAGGUCAUUUCGUUAACAUUCCGUUAAAUCCACGAACGGAAAUUAGACGGAAGUGGACGAAUGCAACAAAAAACAAACUUCAGGUGGCGUGCUGAAAAAAAAAUAUUUGUGUAUUUUUUAAAAAUGCAAAAUAAACAGGUGGACCAUUGUAAAUUUCUCUAAUUUAAUUUAUUAUCAAUUCCGAUUCAUUUAAACGUUUGGAUGCAUGGAAACCACGUGAUGGGUCAAUUUUUGACUUUCUGUGAGAUUCUCAAAAUUGUGUCAAUUUUUUUUUCUUUUUUUUUUGGCCUAUAUAUAACUUAUGGUUUUAAAGGAAAGAUUUUAGUGCAUAUCUGUAUCAUAUUGACAAGUGACAACAACUAGUGUAUUUACUGGGAUAAUUAUUUUUCAGGUAACUCGUUCUCUGUUUUAUCAUGUAAUAAUGGAGAAUGAUUUUUUUU
rnacentral:lncRNA from 1 species